rnacentral:lncRNA from 1 species
GUCGCCAUCUUGGACUCGGUUCGACCAGGUCUGGUGACCGGCGACGAGGGGCCGGGCUCGGCGCCGGGGGUCGGGGUGAGUGGGUGCGAGCCGUGGGAGAGAGGGGGGGCGCUGGCGGCUCUCUUCGUCCGGCGCGGGCUGUGAGAAGUGAGCAGGGCGAGGCGCGGGCGACAGCGGGGCGCGAGGCCCGUGCAUGUGUGUGCGCACGGAGGUGGGGAGACGGUGAUCCCCGCCCGCCCUGCGGAAGGCCCGGCGGUUCUACCACCCGGCAGCUCGGCCAGCCCCGAGUCGCGUGGGGGCGGAGCUGCCCGCGGCCACCACUUCCUGAGUGCCGGGGAUACCCUUCCCGGACGUCACGGAGGAGCCGAGGCGGCGGUGGCGGCCCGGGGCUCAUCCUGCACUUGCAUCACGGGUGCAGCAGCAGCUGCUCUGCUCCUUUGUGGCUUUUUGCCCCGUUGAGUAACUGCUUUGUUAACUGAAAAUACCAUGACGGGCCAGUGUGAUCACCAGCUCCAGAUCUCAAAGAAAGUGAAGCUGUCAGGCAAGAAGAGGGAGACUCCCCCAGCCGGCUGCGAUGGUAUCUGGUGGGUGGAUGUGUAGAGAAGCACUUGACAGUUUCCACGUAUUACUUCUUGCCUAACUCUUCACCCCCAAGAAGAUUUAAAAAUACUUUUAUUUCCAUGCUGUAAAAAUUUCAUUUGUGUUCUGCACCUCCCUCACCCCCCUAAUCCUCCUUCAAUUAAAACUCUCAUGUAGAACUGGAAUCACUGUAAGCAGGAACCCUAAAAUUAGGUACAGUUUUUAGGAAACAUGACAUCUUUCAAUGAAUUUAUUCAAUAAACUACAUUUUCUAAAUGUUAAUAUGUAUGAAAGGUCCUUGCCCACUCAGGGUUGUUAUAAAGCUGCUAAAUUGUUCAUAUGAGUUGGGCUCCAGUGACCGUUUCAAAGCAGUAUCCUUGUUUACCUAAAUUUAAAACAAAACAAAACAAAAAAACUCUUCUCCCUGGCUGAGAACCUCCAAGCAAAGUUUCCUCUCUUUGAGUGGGUGUGUCUUCUGGACCUCUAUCUUGGUUACUUCUGUGCAUCCUCCUCCCUUCUCCCCUCCACCUUCCUUUACAUCCUUUUCUGUUUUUUACAGCCUCACUCCUUUACAUCCGUUCCUUCCUUUACAUCCUUACUCCUUUACAUCCUUUUCUUCCUAUCAAGUGGCCAAUAUCUGUUCCUGGACUGCUCUGUUAGACUGAGGGCUGUUGUCUGACCUCCCUGAGCCAAUCAACUGUUCGUGGCUCAGUGCUUCUCGGGGUAGGAAGGGGGACUGACUGCUGGAGAGGUCACUGAGUGGCAGCCUUUUGAAACUCAAAUGGAAAUUCAUGGAAGCAGAGACACAGCUGUCUCGUAGACGGAGACACCAUCCUCUGCUUAAUCCUAUGUCCCUAAACGUAUGCUGUUCUUUAGGUGACCCAAACAGAAUUAGUUUUUCUCGAGUCUUUUUUUUUUUUUUGAAUUAGUAUCUACUGCUCUAUUCCUUUUCAAAAGUCGGAUUUAUUAGAAACCAGGCAUAAUAUUCUGUAAGGCACAUGUAAUGUGACUAUUUCAGUAAUCUCAAUUUCCUUUUUAAAAAAUUUUAUUAACUUUUUUAUCUCUUCUUUUAGGAAAUCAAAUAAGACUACCUUAAUCUGUGAAACGUUGAAAACUUUCUUGGCUCAGUCCUUUUUCUAUAACAGAAGAGAGACAUUUAUAUGUCACUAGUUUACAUACACGAAGUUAAGUUUCUGCUUUCAUGAUGCUUAUAGCAGCCAGCCUGUUAAAGAAGUAUCUAAAUUAACCAUUACGGAUUCACUGGAUAGUUACCUUUCAUUUUGUUUUGGAUUUGUAGGCCUAAUCUGCCUGCAAGAAAGAACUAUUUCUCUUAGAAAAUAAAAUAUGAAAUUUGGGGGAAACUUAUGUGUGAUAUAAAGCAAUUGUUUUAAAUUGCUUUAAAUGCUCUUCUGAUGAAGUAAAGACGUAUAAUCUUAUUGCUUUUACUAAUAUAUAGAGAUGAUGAUUUCUUAUUAAUGCAAAUAUUGGGUGAGGAAUGGUGAAAUAAAAAUUCUAAGCCAGAAGUUGUUACCUAGGGUGAAAACAGGAAAGAAAAGUAAAAAAUUGUAAGUUCAAGUUUUGUGGAAUCAAUGUAGAAGUUCUAUACUAUAUUUAAGGUACAUAUAUAAAAUUUAGUAACUUCAGCUGACAUUGAUUUAUACACGAGAUGUACCUGGCUCAGUAACCUGCAAUCAUUAUAGUAAGUUUCUAUCUGACCUACAUGCUUGCCAUUCGUUAUCAAUUCCAUCAUUGCCAGAUUAGUCUUCCUAAAAUUUAGAUUUUGUUAUAUAACUUCUGGCCUCAAAAGUCUUCAGCAGCUGGAUAUUUUCUCCAAAAUCAAACCUAGAGCCUCUUUUAUUUCCACAGAAUUUUCCUGUCCUAGUCAAACUGGUGUUCUCACUGUUCUUCAAACUUCCUUUCAACCUCCCACAUUUGUUGAUAGUUUUCCUUUUUAUGGCAUCCCCUCCUUCCUCUUCUUCUCCACUAAUUGAAAUUUACUCUUCCUCUAAAACUAGCCCAAGAAGUGAACUCAGAUUUACUUUACAAAGUCUUUCACAGAGUCUUUCACAAAGUUCUUAUUUUUCUGCCUUCUUUUUGUGCUCUUGUGUCCAUGGUCUAUUCCCUUGUCAAAGUGUAAGCUUCAAAAGCAUACCCCACACAUCUUUGAAAUCCCUGUGGCACCUAAGAAUGUUCGAUAUGGACAGUAAAUGUCCAUAAAAUAUUGCCUCCUUUAAUUUGGAUAUGAAUAGAGAGAAUAGCCAUAUUAUAAGUAACAAAUUAUAUGGAUUAGUGUUUUUUUUUUUUUUUUUGAGAUGGAGUCUUGCUCUGUCACCCAGGUGGGACGAUCUUUGCUCCCUGCAACCUCCACCUCCCGGGUUCAAGUGAUUCUCCUGCCUCAGCCUCUGGAGUAGCUGGGAUUACAGGUGCCUGCCACCGCACCUGGCUAAUUUUUGCAUUUUUAGUAGAGAUGGGGUUUUCACCAUGUUGGCCAGGCUGGUCUCCAACUCCUGACCUCAAGUGAUCUGCCCGCCUCUGCCUCCCAAAGUGCUGGGAUUACAGGCAUGUGCCACCAUGCCUGGCUGGAAUAGGGUAUUUUUGGCACGAGUGGGCAUGUAUAAGUUUAUUUAUUGGUUGCUUUCUUUACUUCAACUUGAUACUCCAGAUAGAACAUACUUUAUCAAGGUGCCUGCCACAAGCCCAGACAGCUGCGUGGUGAUAACAAGAAAAUGGCAGUUUGUCUUUAUCUAUUGUAUCUGUGUAGGAAGAUUUGCUAUGAUUUUUUUUUUCCUGAUAGACUUUUGGUUUGACUCUAAUUCUAACCUCUUUCCCCUCUAUUUGUACUUUCUCUUAUGCUGCUUUCUCUCACUUAUGAACUAGAUGCUGUAGGCUAGGAAAUGUUAAUAUCAACUUCUUUUAGAAAAAAGUUUUUAAGGUUUGGAAAAUUGCGAACCGUGACAUUUUUGUAUAACCAAUUAAAUAUGAAAAUUCUUGAAUCUCAUCUUUUCCAAAAUAUAUUGAAAUAGGUUUGCAUGCUACUAUAUGCAGAAGUAAAAUGAGCAAAACAAUUUUGGAUUACGAUUUUUUAGAAUUUUUAGAUAGAAGCUCAAUAUGAUUGAAUAUUAAUAUCAAUGACUGAAUAUUAAAGUUUACUUUAACAAGGAGAAAGUAACAUAGUAGAUCAGGAAAGACUUUCUAAUUGUAGAAAAUUUUGGAAAAAGUAGAAACCUGAGAUGGAAAGAUUACUUAAUAGUAUAAGUGCCAAUAUUACUUUAAAAUCUCAUUAAAUAAUGUCUUUUCAUCCAUUAGAAAUAAUAAGAGUCAGGACAGGCUUGCAGUCUGGUUAAAAAGAUAGUUUAUUUCUUAGUCAUGUUUUCCUCAAUCAUUGGUAAACUCUGGAAGACCUCAAUAAUCUGGGGGAGAAAAGUUAUUAUUCAUGUGUGAUAAACCAAUUCAGGAUAUUAUUUAUGCCUACGAAACAAGAUCUGCCUUUUAACUAGAGUUGAUGGAUGAAGUAAAUACCUCUUUCCAAAUAUAACUGCAUAACCCUUUCCCAUCAUUUCCACUCUGAAAAAAACCAAAAAGAUUGCCUCACAUACAAGUUCAGUUCCUUCAGCAUAUUCUCCAACAGUGAGAUGCUAUAUAUCACAAAAAGUACUAGACUGCUUCUCAGAGGCCUGGGUCUGGCUUUGCUGCCAUGAAGGUGCCCAGCCUUGGGUAAGUUCAUCUUUUCGGGGGGCCUAAAUAUUAUUUGUAAAAUGAUAGUGUUGGGCUCACUUUAUGAUCUUUAAGGAAAUUUCAAGUUCUAAAGUUGAAUGCUUUUUUAGACACAUUAAAUAUUGUGAAUCAGCUGUGCCCUGGUCUCCUAAAGUGAUUGCUAUGGCCAGGAGACUUACAAACUGUCUUGUAUACAAUACAUGUGCUUUUAGUAGUAAUGUUAUAUUAAACUGCUUUGGCCUGCAUGGUAAUGAACUAUAGCCACUGAGUGGGAUCUUGGUGGCCUGAGAGAGUUAAUGCUGCCAGCAUCACAGCCUUCUGUCCAUGAAGUAGAAAUGAGCAGAAACCUGGAUAGUCCAAAAGUCAUUUUAUAUUUAGCUUUGGAAUUUGUUUUUGUGCCUUCAUUUGAAUAUGGAUGAGUCACAAAUUGACUUCAUACAAAUUAGCAAACUUUCAUUGGAAUGGAUUCUGUUGUUUGCUCCUCUUCAGUUCCUUUCUGAUCCUCACUGCAUGCAAAGCACAAACCAUUUCUUAAGUGUAGCAGUGGAGGCAGAACUGUCCUUUUUCUGCUUCUUUCUAGAAAAGGCUUGAUGAUGGUGGGGUUGCAAGUCUACAUCUCCCUUCGGAGUGUAAAUAAAUAGUGAAAUAGUGAGAAGGCAGAUCACAAGGAAAGUACCAAGUAGGUGUUAAGUUGAAAAAAAAAAAUGGCAAAACAACCAGGAUGAAUACAGUAGGCUCUAUUUGCAAACUUGUUAGGUUUGUGGAUGGAUAGACCUUUAUAGAUAAAUAAGAGCUCACUUUGUAGGCAUUGGGAAGUAUCUGAAUUUUAACAGAUUACAGGUUGAGGUAUCAUUUUAGUUAGGUUUAGAUAGUGAAAACAUGGUUUAUCUAUUUUUUAAAUGCCUAUUCUACAUAUUUAGGUAUCUGGUUUCCUCUUUAGAUCAUGCAAUUAGUAACUGAUUCUGAUUUUUUUACCAUAAUACAUUUUCCAGUAUUUAUUCUGCAUGUUUAUAGUUCACUACUGGAAAAAUUCUUCCCUGACAUCUGUUCUGAAUUAGUUCCCUUUUCCAGUUAUGUUUUCCUGUUUUAUCAAUUGUGAUGAGGAGAAUAGAAAGCCAUAUUUUAAAGAUUUCUGCUACUUAAGUUUAGUAAAAUUGAAAUAAACUAUGUAACUUUUUCUAAAUUCUGGAAAUUUGCAUGUUAAAUUACCGGUUUCAUUUUUUAAAACAAUAGCAUAAACCGGACAAAAUUUGAGAUCCAGUUACUGUAGUCUUUCAUAGUUGUCAAAUUGACUUUUCCAUAGUUAAAAAAUUUUUUUGAGAACAGCUUCUGUUGUCUCAAUGUCUUUAAAAAUGUCUUUUUGUUUCAGUUAUCUUGGAUCUAUGUAUUUGGGAUGAAUCUUCUUUGGGAUGAACUUAUUGAGUACUUAGCAGUUCUUGGCAUGCUAAGAGUAGGUAUUAAGAGGAAGAGUGGUGCUCCGUAAACAUUUGAUGAUUGAAUGAAAGCAGUUUGCAGGAAGCUUUAUCCAAAAUAUUCUAUUUUCUUUAUCUUAACCAGCCUCACGGCCUUAGAACUUUUCUGGGAUAGUUUCACUCGUUAGGCAUAAGAGAGGAGCGUACAUCACUGUGCUGCUGCACCUGCACUACCCUCUUCCACCGUUGCACCGAGUCUACAGACACUUCUGGUUGCCCAGAUUGAGGGAGGUACCCCUGAGUUAUAGCACUCUGGGACAUCUGCAUUUGAACUGAGAACCGAUUCAGGUGUCCUGAGGAAUUGUUAUGCCUUACUUUUUAACCCCAGGUACCCCCAGGAAUUAAUCUCUGGCUUAUCUCUCUAUUUUGAUAUGCCACUUUUGCUGCGAUAGUUUCACAAGAUUGUGUUCUUUUCUCUUUUCUUCACUGUCUCUGCCUGGGCGGCAUAUAUAACCUAUUCAUCAGUGAGUUCCUCAACUCUAAUUGAUUUCCAACUGUAAUCCUCACUUUGCUUUCCAGUUCUAGAUGUUACUAUUCAAGGCCUCCGAGUGCAUAGUUACUUGUCUAAUAUCUAUCACCCAUAGACUGAGAGGCUUACAUGUAGGGUGUUAACUAGGAACUCAACUUAUAUCUACUUAACAUAUUUAAACAUGUUAAGAUUUAAUUUUUGAAAAGAUAAUACAUUUACAUGAUUCAAAUGACAAAGCAUUUAGAAAUGAGAAGUUUACUUUCCACUCCGGUCCCCUACUAAAUGACCCUCCUUCCAGAGUUGUUGUUAUUGUUCUUUUUUUUUUUUUUUUUUUGAGACAGAGUCUCUCUCUGUUGCUCAGGCUGGAGUGCAGUGGUGCGAUCUUAGCUUACUGCAACCUCUGCCUCCUGGGUUCAAGAGAUUCUCCCGCCUCAGCCUCCCGAGUAGCUGGGAGCUGGGACUACAGGUGCAAGCCACCAGAUUCGGCUAAUUUUUGUGUUUUUAGUAGAGACGGGGUUUUACCAUGUUGGCCAGGGUGGUCUGAAACUCCUGACUUCUAGCAGUCUGCCUGCCUCAGUCUCCCAAAGUGCCGAGAUCCUUCCAGAGUUUUUUAAUGCAUUUCCAAGACACUACAAAUAUAAAUUCUGUUUCCCUUUCCUUUUUUAUACACAUGGAAGCUUACACGUAUUGUUCUGCCUUUUUCACUUAAUAGUGUAUCUUGGAGUUCUGUCCAUAACAGUGGAAAAAUAUCUGAGAUAUAUCUGAGAUAUAUUUCAUUUAUAAUGUAUCUUGGAGAUCUCUUCAUGUCAUUGUGUGAAUAUAUCAUUAUUUAGCCAGCCCCAUAUUGAUGGACAUUUGGGAAGUUUUCAAUCUUUUUGCUGUUUCAAGUAAUGCUACAAUAAAUACUUUUGUUAUAUAGAUUAUACUUGUGCAAAUAUAUUUGUAGGAUAAAUUCCUAGCAAUUGAGGGAUACAAAUUACAAGUAAUGCUACAAUAAAUACUUUUGUUAUAUAGAUUAUUUUAUACUUGUGCAAAUACAUUUGUAGGGUAAAUUCCUAGAAAUUGAAUUACUGGGCCAAAGGGUAUAUAUAUCAUAGUAGUUUGAUAGGUACUACCAAAUUACUCUCCAUAGAGGUUGUACAGUUUACACUCCACUAAAAAUAUAGGCAAGUGCCUGAAUACUCAUAUUCUUGCCAACAAUGUGUUAUUUAACCUUAGGUUUUUUUCCAGUCUGGUCGGUGAAAAUGUUAUCUUAGUGUAACUUUAAUUUCUUUCUCUCAUGAGUAAGUUAGAACAUCUUUUUCAUAUGCUUAAGAGCCAUUUAUAUUUCCUUUUGGUGAAGUGUGUCUUAUAUCCUUUGCCUAUUUUGGGAGGUGGGGGUGGUUUAAAAAUCACUUUGUAGUUGCUGUUUAUAAUAUGGAGAUUUGCCCUUUGUUAUAUGAGUUGCAGCGUAUUUCCCCGUAGUUUGUCAUUUGUCUUUCAACUUUGCUUAUGAUGUUUUUGCUAUGUAGAUUUUUUAAAAAAUGUACUUGAAUUUGUCAGUCUUUUAUGACUUCUAGAUUUAGUCAUAGUUAGAAAAAUCUAUACUACUCCAAGGUUAUGAAAGAAUUCCCUCACGUUGGCUUUUACUACUUUCAUGGUUUCUGUUUUGCAUUUAAAUUUUUGAUCCAUUUUUCCUGGUGUAUGGUAUGAGAGGUAGGUCCAACUUUAUUUUUUUCCAAAUGGCUACGCAGUUGUCUCAACACCAUUUGUGAAUAGUCUACCUCUACGCUGUUUUGCUUCUUACUCAAAACAAGACUGAUUCAUCUCCUUUUUUUUUUCACACCUACUCUGCUGUGACUGAAUAUGAAUACAAUUCUCUGCUUUCCUUCCUGUAGAACACCUUCUUCAGUGGCAGAGAUGUCUUUCUCCCUGCUGCCUCCCUGCUUUCCUCAGCAAUACCGCACGCAGCCUGGCAGUCAGUUAAUGUUGGAAUGAAUACGGGGUACUCAGAAGCUCUCCAGGAUUUUUCAUUGAGCAAUAACUGGUUAAAAAGAAAUCCUAACUGUAAUCAGGUUCCUUAGAAGACUGUUCAAACUGGAGAUGUCUUCGGGCUCUCUCUAGUCAUGGUGAUCAGUUAUUCCAGAAGCUAAAGGUGUACUACCUGGGUCCUUUACUCUAGAGGCAGUCCGAUUUGGGUUGCUUCCCUCCAUGCAAAUUACUCUCAUCUGCUACCUCUGCUUUGUCUGACAGCAUGGGAUAUUACCUUCUGUAAUUUGAGAUGGGAACCAUAAAAUGCCAACAAGGUGGUGUUGAUUCCCCAUGAUGCAAUGGCCAGCUCAAGAACCUCAUUUACUUGGAAAGUGAGGCUGUGGAUAAAUGAUUUUGGAAACAUUCCUUCUCAGUUUGAACCCCAAGCAGAUGUUGUUUCAUCUGUGGAACCUAGGGAAAACCCUAGCUUUGUUCUUCUAGGUGAGAGUGUCCAAGCAGGCAGAUGAAACUGAAUUUAUUUGAUACCUUUCCUUACUAGCAUUCUCUAAGCUAUGUGGGCUAGUUUUAUAGCUACCUGAUAAAAGACUUCCUUCCACUUUGAACCAUUGCCCUAGGCUAUAUUUCCUUUCUAAACUUGUCCAGGCCAUCUUGCCUAUUCUUUAUUAUUGAGGCUUACCUUUUGAUCCUGUUUCUUAUCUCUGCCUUCAGACUUGCCGCCUGAUGCUGGUAGUACCCUCUUUGUCCAGUACCAAUUUGACUUAAAAGUUAUUUUGGCCAAAAGCAAUGUGGUCAAGUACAAUUUAGCUGAAAGCAAGUUGGUUAACUGAUUUGUUGUAAUCAGCUAUUAAUUGAAACAAUGAUUUCGUCAAAACAAUGAGUUGGUCAAAAUGAAUAUCCUGUUAAUAGUUUUUGAGUAGUGGUAAUUUCAGUGUAAAAUGAUUAGAUACUUUUGGUCCAUUUUCUAGGGACUUUUCCAGUAUUUUUCUUUUACAGUUCAAGUUAACUUUCAGCUAUGGCAGCAUUUGAUUGCUUGUGAUUUCAAAAAGUUAAAGCAACCUAGCUACCCAGUAAUAGGAGAAUAGUUGGACAAGAGUAAUCUUAACUAAAAGGCAAUAAGAGGUUAAUUGGAACAAACAAAACACCCAGUGAUAAGAUAAAAACAUGUUUCCUGUAUUAUUUUUCUUUUCCCCUCAUAAAAAAGGCUGUGCAUAUGCAGUACAGGACAUUCAGAAAAAUGUAGAUAAAGACUAGAAGGAAAAAAGAAAAAAGCUAUAAAUUAAUUCACCCAGGAAUAACCACUGUUGUCCUUCCCUAUCCUUCUAAGUGCAUUUUAUACACAUAAACUCUACCUAUAGUUUGUAAUUUGCCAUAAUUUAUUUAAGCAUUCUCCAGUUAUUGGUUAGUCACUUUUGUUGAGAAUCAGAUUUUGGUUCCUUUGUGCAACUGUGGGCCAGGCUACCUUUAGCUGGGAAUAGAUUGCCUUUCUCUUUUCCCUUCUGUCCCUCAAUCCUGCCUAGGCCUGCAUCCAGCCUGGGCUCUCAAGGCCCCCCUGCCUGCUUUAAGUGAGACACUUUGUAAAUGAAACCAUUCUGCCAAGCCUUUCUAUGGUUACUAAAGAGGCCUGGUUCCAGAAUUCCUGUGGAACUCUCUGGUUAUAUAUAAAAAUUUUUUUGGAGUUCAUGCUUGAUAUAUGUUAUAUGUAUAUGUAUGCAAAUCAGAUAGAGUGAAGAGAUGGGAGGGAUUAUAUUGGGUCUCCAUUAAAAUAAGAAUAAAGAGGCAUUGCAGCAGAGAACUCCAUUAUCAGUGGAGGGAAAUUAGGAGAUUUUCUCUAAAACAGGGUUGGCAAAUAUGUGCUAUGUGUUGUGCCUGAACCUGAGUCAUGAUAGACUCACUAAUCAGUCAUGGCACUAUUUCUCACUAGAUCCAGACUCAGCUUUAAGUCUUUCUCAAGGUUGGGUUCUAGGUGGCUGUAUCCACUGUAGUUGCUGUGGGAGACAAAUGAGUUACUACUCUUGCUUCUAAGAUGUUACAUUAAAGUUAUUGUUUUUUGUUUUUUUUUUUUUACAGUGGAUUGACCAAGAAAGUUUUUGUUUGUUUGUUUUUCUUUGAGACAAAGUCUUGAUCUGUUGUUCAGGCUGGAGAGCAGUGGCAAGACCAUGGCUCAUUGCAUCCUUGACCUCCCGGCUCAAGCGAUCCUACUGGCUUCAGGUAGCUGGGACUACAGGUAUAUGCCACCACACCGGGCUAAUUUUUUUUAAUUGUAGAGACAGGGGUUUCCCUAUGUUGUCCAGGCUGGUCUCAAACUCCUGGGCUCAAGGGAUCCUCCUACCUUGGCCUCCCAAAGUGCUGGGGUUAUAGGUGUGAGCCACCAUGCCUGGCCUGACUGGGAAAGUUUUAAUAAAAUGUUUUCUAUCUGAUAAAUAAGUUCAUGUUGAAAAAUAUGGGAUGUGAGCAAAGAGUAAUUAUCUGGAUUUCAGGCAAAGCACAUGCCUUGUAGUUAAGAUCAUUGAAGCAGCAUAAUCACAUUAUAGAUUUGUUAUGGAGUGAAAACAAUGUCAUAAUAAUACUCAUCAGUAUAAAUUGCCCAUGGUAUGGUCAUGGUGAUUGACUCCCCAGUAUUCAUCCCACCGCAGGUGAUUUGUCUAAGCAGUCAUGGUUAAUCCCAUUUCCCUUGCCGGUGAAGAGUUAGGAAUGGCCUGUAACCUAUUCUGGCCAAUGAGAGAUGAAGGAAAAGUCUACAGACGGCUUGAGUGCUUCUGGGAAAGGAUUUAUUGAUUCUAAACAGAGAGAAAAGAAAGAGAUGAUGCCUCAUCUCCCUGUGAUUUUAUGUUUGAGUAUAGUGGCUAGAACUGCUCUAUCCAUCUUGGGACCAUGAGGGAAACUAGCUUUGGGGGGUGCAGCUGAUCUAGAUGAUGACAGAACAGAUGGAAGAAACCUGAGCCCUUGAUGACCUUCCUGAAUUGCUGAUUGUAUUGUACUUGGUCUGCCUUACCUCUGAACUUCCAGUUCUGUGAGAUAAUACAGUUCCUCAUUGUGUAAGUAGGCAUGAUCUGCGAAUUUGUCAUUUGCAGCCAGAAACAUCCUGAUGUGAUACCUACUUUGUCCCAAGCAGAUUCACGUCAGGUGGAUUUGAUAUUAUUUGGAUAGGUUUCUUUUUGCUGGGGCUCUUCCCUCCCCAUGUCUUCUGCCUUCAUAAAGUGGAUGCAGAUUCUAACUGGCCAGGUCUUGUCUCUAUCUUUUCUAAGGGGCUCUGCCUUAGACCAGGGAUCUUCAUAGGAAGCAGCAAGGAAUCAAACAGCACUCAUUGUCUCUUCCAGAGUCUUUUGGGUUGUUUGAAUAUCUGGUGGUGUGACUGCUACCAUUUGUUGUUCAUUCCUUCUUUUUCUGAUUCUGAUUCUGAUUUCUUGCUUAGAUCUUGGUCCUCACUUUUGUAUAUUUUGUGUCUCAUGCCUGACCUCAAGAUUGUUUGAUAGAUUUAUUUUCUUCUCUUCUGCAACUCUUUCCCCUUAUCUCCUUCAUCCACUCCUUCCUCAUCUUGUGACUUGAUUUUGUGGCCAGUGGAGACUAUUCUAAGCAGAUGGGUAUAUGUUAUUUGCCAGGAGCAAUAGUGAGUUACAUGAGUAAUCAUACAUCUAUUUGCUCUAGACUGGUAGAGUAAAAAGUAAGAGUAGUUCACCCCUUGGUCUUCUCAUCUAGUACCUUUCACUCAUGGCAUAGAAUAAUAGAACUGGAAAUGGUCUAGGAGUCAGAGCAUUUGAGUCUUCAUUAUGGCCUAGCCAUUUGCUACCUGAAAUUUUGGGCAAGUCUCUUAAGUAUAUUUUUUCCUUAAAGUUUGUUGCUAUUGUCUGUCUAAUUUUUAAAAUAGUAUUAUAGUGAUUCAAAUGAAAUAAUGAACCUGGCAAAUGAGAAGGUUUUUUUAAAAAAACACUCAAACUUGGUUGGAUUUUCUGUUUAUUUUCAGUGAACUAAUGUCAAAGUCUCUAAAUUGUGUAGUUUGUUAGUCUCUUUGUAGAAAGGCAACGGAGUAUGAUGUGGGGCAUAAUAGUACAAGUAAUUAGGGAUUGAAAUUUAUAUUUUAGUGUUAACUAGGCCUGAAAAAAAGAAAAAAGGCCACACGAUAUUAAAAAUAAAGGUCAGGAUGUUGAUCUUGAGGCUUAUUUCUAGUUCAACCAGAAAUUCUGGUCAGCCGAAUUAGGGGGAAAGAGAAACCAAUAAAAGAAACACCCCCCUCUAGUGGCGAGGGGCCAGAUUCUCCACUUGGUUGCUAAGAUGGAUGAGGGGAAUGGAUAACUUCUUAGGAUAUUUUUUGUUUCUUAAGAAUUCUGAGGUUGUAGAGUUAGACUACUUAAGGGAGAUCUUAGUUCAGGCUUUAUUUGUCAGGAAACUUAACACAUUUCUCAGGAUAACUAGUAUCUUGUCAGUCUCAUGUGAAAUUGGUUAAAAAAUGUAGAGGCUACUGUUGUUGGAAGAGGUUCACAGUUUACUUUUAUAUAGGCCACAUGGAGAUCAUGAAAAUUAGGAGACAUUUGUUGCUAAACUUCUUAUUGGGUCUGAGAUGAUAUAGUAGGUACCUUUAUAAUCCCAUUCACAGGGGGAUAAAUAUUUAAAGUUGUGGGUUAUGCCAUAGAGUAGUAUUAAUCUAUGUUUGUACAAAAUAGUGGCUGUGGAUUUCCUAAGUUUUGAUUUGAAAUUUUUACUGGUGAUCCUGAGAACCAAAUGUUUAACUUGCAUCUUGGGAAUGAUUUAAUUGCUACCUAUGGAAAGGCAGUGAAGUUAAGUAUAUUAAAAUAACAUCACCCAUACUUUAGUGACUCAGGAGGAGCACCUAAUGCUUUUUUUUUUUUUUUUUUUUUUUUUUUUUGAGGCAAGGCCUCACUCUAUUGCCCAGGUUGGAGUGCCAUGGUGCAGUUUCGGUUCACUGCAGCCUUGACCUCCUGGGCUCAAGCAGUCCUCCCACUUCAGCCUCCUGAGUAGCUGGGACUACAGGUGUGCACCACCACACCAGGCUAAUUUUAUUCAUUUUUUGUAGAGAUGAGGUCUCCCUGUGUUGCCCAGGCUGGUCGUGAACUGGGCUCAAGGGAUUCUCCUACCUUGGCCUCUCAAAGUGUUGGGAUUACAGGCAUUAGCCACUGCACCUGGUGCACCUAAUGCAUUCUUGAAGGAUGUUUCAUCUUAAGGAUAUAAAUCGUUAGUGAUAAUGAUUGUAAGUGAUUGUUACAUUUGCAAAUCUCAAAGUCCAUUGAAGUUUUUACUGUUUCAACUUCUGUUUGGGAAAGAUUAUUUUACAUUUGUUUAAAGAUUUCUGAAGAGGCAAAAUUUCAGAGAAUAAUAUUUUUAUAAUACUCUGUUAGAUCUAAGUUAAGACUGGAAUGCCAUUCAAAUUCAAUGGUUAAAAGGCAUAAGAAAAUAAAUUCUUAUAUCAGACUGCAUUAUCAAUAUGCCAUUUCCUUAUUUUUAAUGUCAAACUUCCUUGCCCUGAAGGAAAAAAAUUGAAGCUUGCAGUUGACCAGCCAUUCCAUAACUUGGAGUAUGUUUGGUGGCCUUUCUUAUGAAAUAGUAAUGGAAAAAUUCCAUAGAAAAUAUAAACUCGUGUGUGGAUGAAGUGAGAUUAUAGAGUUACGAAAUUAAUUUUUGUGCAUAACUUGUGGAGCUGAUAGCCUUAAUUUAUUAUUGUACUUCAUAAAUAUACUUUAUUUCAGGAAAGAAGAACUAGGUCUGGCAGUAGAUCAGAAUCUACCUGUUGGGGAAAACCAGAAAUAGGAAGAAGAGUUAUUAAUGGUUCAUUCUUGGCUGAGAAGAAUUCAGUAUGGAAUAAUUAAGAACUACUAUCAAUGCCUUUUACAAAAUGAGGUCAUUGGAUUGCAGAGUUGGCUUUCGAGAAGAUUUUGUGGCCUUUCUCAGCUGUCUAGGUGCUGUAGGUGCUGUGUUUCUAUGGCUGCAAGGAUGAAGGUAACAUGGAUGAGGGAGGCUGAUGAGGCAUGUUUUGGUUGUUAUAUAAAGCAAGGCUCACAAAUGCAGCAAUAAGGACAUUGAUUUUUUUCCCUUGGCUACUUUGCAGUGGAGAUAAAUUGCCACCAGGUGAAUGGUGGUACCUUGAUUAUUUGGCCCAUAGUCUAAAUAGCUUUAAUGGGAGACCUGUUUAGAGCAUCAAUUUUCUGUUUUAAAUAUAUCAUUUCAUUAUUGGCACAGAAUUAUGACCACAUUAAUGGAGAUAGAAAUAAAGAAGAAAAACUAAAAAUCAUGUCUUUAUUUUCCCUUGCUUCAUGC